rnacentral:pre_miRNA from 1 species
CUUAGCGUCACCUUCUCCGGUGAGAAGGCAGCCCAGUGGGUCGCCUUCUCCGGUGAGAAGGCAACCCACUGGGCUGCCUUCUCACCGGAGAAGGUGACCGGGGA